rnacentral:rRNA from 1 species
UACGGAGGGUGCAAGCGUUAUCCGGAUUCACUGGGUUUAAAGGGUGCGUAGGAGGGCAGGUAAGUCAGUGGUGAAAUCUCCGAGCUUAACUUGGAACUGCCGUUGAUACUAUCUGUCUUGAAUAUUGUGGAGGUGAGCGGAAUAUGUCAUGUAGCGGUGAAAUGCUUAGAUAUGACAUAGAACACCAAUUGCGAAGGCAGCUCACUACACAAUCAUUGACGCUGAGGCACGAAAGCGUGGGGAUCAAACAGG